CGGCGCCCGCUUGCGUCGCCGCCGCCUAUUGUCGCUCAAUAGCCUCUUGGAGCCUUCAAAUCUGCUCCCCUUGGCUUCGCACAGACUCUGCUUGCUGCCGCACUACUCCAAUAAGCGCAACCACUUGAUCCCUAAGCUCUCCGUCGCCACUCGCUUCGGAUCGCUCGGGCUCUGUACUCGGCUCCUCAGGCAUCGACCUUGUCUGUGGUCGUCCACGAGGUGCCAUUGCUUCCUGAAAAGAAGCAACUCGCAUUAGCUACAUAACCAACAUUACUCAUCAAUACCCAAUUCGGCGAAAGCAACAUACACAUUCAUCCUUGCCUCAAGCGUCAUGUCGUCGGCCGCCCGACACAACACUAGAAGUAGAGGACAAAUGAAAAUUAAACUUAGCCUCUAAUCACAUUAGAGACGUCCCAACUUAACCCAAUCACAUGCUUUCGCUAACUUUG
rnacentral:lncRNA from 1 species